GGCUAACUUCGUGCCAGCAGCCGCGGUAAUACGAAGGGUGCGAGCGUUGUUCGNAUUUAUUGGGCGUAAAGGGCGCGUAGGCGGAUCNAUAAGUCAGAUGUGAAAUCUCGGGGCUCAACCUCGAAACUGCGUCUGAAACUGUCAAUCUAGAAUGCUGGAGAGGGAAGUGGAAUUUCGCAUGUAGGAGUAAAAUCCGUAGAGAUGCGAAGGAACACCAGAGGCGAAGGCGACUUCCUGGACAACGAUUGACGCUGAGGCGCGAAAGCGUGGGGAGCAAACAGGAUUAGAUACCCUGGUAGUCCACGCCGUAAACGAUGAGCACUAGAUAUUGCGGGUAUUGACCCCUGCAGUGUCGCAGCUAACGCAUUAAGUGCUCCGC
rnacentral:rRNA from 1 species